CCAGCCGUUGUAGAGGCAAAACAUGUCCGAUUUGGCUGAAAAUUUGCAAUCAAGAUCAGAUUAUCAGUCUAUAUAUGUGUAUAAAUUUGUGUGUUGAUAGGGUGAAAGGUUCCUGUCUUCUGUCCAUUUAGGUUGGAAAAUAGUGAUAAAUAGAAUAAAUUGAAAAUAGUUAUUUUUUCACUGUAGAGCCUACUGACGACUUAUUUGGCUCAUACUUGGCACAUGUGCUUCAAAUGUCAUUGUUAAUUAGUAGCUUCAACAGUUUUGGCAUGUUUUAAACUUUGACAGAGUUUUGGCCAAAUAACUCUGAAAAGGCUUUCACGUACAUGUUUGAUCAAGGUUUAUGGGCCUCAAGUAGUUAAAAUUUCAAGAUUUUUUUGAUAAUUAUUUAC